AAAUCAAAUGCAUAGAUUUCAGUCACAAGCCGCGCCGAAUAAUAAAGAGGCCGUGGGAGGGGCGCGUCAAUAUUGCAGCAAAGACCUUGGUCCUCAUUGCCGAUGCGGCGCCACGAAAAGGGCGCACCGGCGACGAGAUGACGCGCCAUAGGCAAGACGCCGUCGAGCGCCGACAGCAGUGCGACUUGGUCGCCGUUGUGCGACAGAGCCCGCCGCCGUCUUGACCGUGACCGCCCAACGCACAUCAAUGGCGUCAAGGUAGGGCACACUUUGGCCUCGACCACUACGGCACAUGCCAGCGAGCGCCACGAGGCCGGUGGUGUGCGGCCGACAUGGACGACUUUUCGUCGAUAGGUGUGCGCCAUGGUCGGAUGCGACGGUGCCGUGUGGUCGUCAGGCGCCGUCAUGGUGAACGGCGCGGGAUCUCGACAUUAGUGGGGCGCACCAAGCCUGGUCGCGCGGCAGGGUCAGGCGCGCAGGCCACGGCGCACAACAAACCCAUUGUCCGAUUGCAGAUUUAGAAGAAUGGGCCCCAUGUAGGUCAGCCCACAAUGCCAGUGGGCGCCUGCACGAGGCAGGACCAACGCAGCAGCAGCAGCAGCAGCAGCAGCGCCUCCAGACAACCGACAACUAGAAAAAGGGCGAUCGUCGCCGACGCGAGCAGAGAGGACCGACACGACGACAUAUCGCCGUCGAGUGUUUUCUUGUCGGCGUCUCUGCGUGCAUGUCCGUGCCCUUGCGGUUGGCGUCGCCGUCGUCACUGCCCAACGCAGCCCCCGUGGCGACGGCCGGUCGCGGGUCGAUAAAUCCAGAAUAAAAAAUUGAAAAAAAAUUUUUG
rnacentral:lncRNA from 1 species